GAUGAACGCUGGCGGCGUGCUUAAUACAUGCAAGUCGAGCGAACGGACGAGAAUUUUGCUUCUCUGAUGUUACCGGCGGACGGGUGAGUAAUACGUGGCUAACCUCCCUAUAAGACUGGGAUAACUUCGGGAAAUCGUAGUUACUACUGGUUUAUAUUUUGAACCUCCUGGUUUUAUAGUGAAAGACGGUCUUGCUGUCACUCUUAGAUUGACCCGCGCUGCAUUAGCUAGUUGGUAAGGUAACGGCCUAUCAAGGCAACGAUGCAUAGCCGACCGGAGAGGGUGGGCGGCCACACUGAAAGUGAGACACGGCACAGACUCCUACGGGCAGCAGCAGUAGGGAAACUUCCGCAAUGGGCGAGAGACUGACGGAACAACGCCGCGUGAGUGAUGCAGGACUUCGGAGCGUAAAACGAUGUUAUUCGGGAAGAACAGAUGUGUAAGUAACUGUGCACAUCUUGACGGUACCUAAACAGAAAGCCACGGCUAACUACGUG
rnacentral:rRNA from 1 species